rnacentral:rRNA from 1 species
UUGAAACUCAAAGGAAUUGACGGGGGCCCGCACAAGCGGUGGAGCAUGUGGUUUAAUUCGAUGCUACGCGAAGAACCUUACCAGGUCUUGACAUCUUCUGCCAACCUAAGAGAUUAGGCGUUCCCUUCGGGGACAGAAUGACAGGUGGUGCAUGGUUGUCGUCAGCUCGUGUCGUGAGAUGUUGGGUUAAGUCCCGCAACGAGCGCAACCCUUAUUGUUAGUUGCCAGCAUUCAGUUGGGCACUCUAGCAAGACUGCCGGUGACAAACCGGAGGAAGGUGGGGAUGACGUCAAAUCAUCAUGCCCCUUAUGACCUGGGCUACACACGUGCUACAAUGGACGGUACAACGAGUCGCGAAACCGCGAGGUCAAGCUAAUCUCUUAAAGCCGUUCUCAGUUCGGAUUGUAGGCUGCAACUCGCCUACAUGAAGUUGGAAUCGCUAGUAAUCGUGGAUCAGCAUGCCACGGUGAAUACGUUCCCGGGCCUUGUACACACCGCCCGUCACACCAUGAGAGUUUGUAACACCCAAAGCCGGUGAGGUAACCUUCGGGGACCAGCCGUCUAAGGUGGGACAGAUGAUUAGGGUGAAGUCGUAACAAG